rnacentral:rRNA from 1 species
GACGAACGCUGGCGGCGUGCUUAACACAUGCAAGUCGAACGAUGAACCCGGAGCUUGCUCCGGUGGAUUAGUGGCGAACGGGUGAGUAACACGUGAGUAACCUGCCCUCGACUCUGGGAUAACUGCGGGAAACUGUAGCUAAUACCGGAUACGACCCUCGGAGGCAUCUCCUGGGGGUGGAAAGAAUUUCGGUCAAGGAUGGACUCGCGGCCUAACAGCUAGUUGGUGAGGUAACGGCUCACCAAGGCGACGACGGGUAGCCGGCCGGAGAGGGUGACCGGCCACACUGGGACUGAGACACGGCCCAGACCCCUACGGGAGGCAGCAGGGGGGAAUAUUGCAAAAUGGGCGCAAGCCUGAUGCAGCAACGCCGGGUGAGGGAUGACGGCCUUCGGUUUGUAACCCUCUUUUAGCAGGGAAGAAGCGAAAGUGACGGUACCUGCAGAAAAAGCACCGGCUAACUACGUGCCAGCAGCCGCCGUAA